AGAAGCUCGUGCCCAGCAGCCAUGUUGGUUGGGGGCAGAGGAGCCGUUGGAAGCGUUGGCGGCACGCGCGGCGUGGGGAGGAGAUGUUUGAUUCUCCCUGUAUGUAAAGACAUCCAAAAUUUCACAGAAUGUGAAAAGUUUGCAGCAGUGCUACCAAAGUGUUAGAACUUGCCGUACUUUGUAGGGUUGUGUGUGUGUGUGCAGCUGGAGUUUUCAAUUCCUGAUUCCCAGUGAGUUCCAGUUUCCCUCAGCACUGGAAGCUGCUUCUUUGCAAAGGACCAGUUUACAUUGAACUAUCAUGGCAUCCAGCAAAUUUGUUAUUAAGUGUGGGAACUUUGCUGUUCUGGUGGAUGUUCAUAUUUUGCCUCAAGGCUCCAGUAAAGACACCAGCUGGUUUUCAGAUCAUGAAAAGGAGGAGCUCUGCAUGAUGCUAGAAGAUGUGGUAGCUUCACGGGUCAAACACUAUUUGGAAGCUCCUAAACGACGUGGUCAAUGGAAAUCGAUGGAACAUGCAGCAUCUGCUCCUUUGUUUCUAACAGGCAGCCAUUUUCACAUUACUGCCCAGUUUAUGAAGAGAUGGGUCAAUCUUCGUUGUGCUUUAGGAGAACGUUAUCGUGAGCUACGUGUAUUUCCAGACAGAUUUGUGGUUUGUGUCAGUAAACUUGAAUCUAAUCCAAGUGCUUGGACAUGUGAGAAUGGUGCUUUGAAAGAAGAACUUUCCAAUGGGACAUCUGAAUAUUUUACUGAAUCUGCUGAGAACAAAAAGCUUAAGAUUAGUCUGACUCAACAGAUAAAGCAAGACAUCUUGAGAGAAAUUGUGAAAAGGACAAAAACAAGGAAAAGUAGUGUGAGCAAGCCUCAAACCAGCAAGGACUCCAAGAAAGUGUAUCUUGGCUCAGUGGACUCACAGAAAGAGAACAGAAAGAAUGACUGUCGAACUUCUCCCAAUCCUCCAUCUGAAUUAAAAUGUAGAAGUACAGGACAACUAAAGGAUUGCGUAAAUACAUCUGAGAACAACUUAAAGCUUCCUGUUUCAGAGUUAGAAAAUGAUGUUAAUCAGAGACAACCAGAUGAUGCUAGCAGCCAGCGAAAACCUCACUCUGUGGAGUGGUUAAAAAUGAGACUUUUAAGCAAGAAUCCUUCUUGUAGCUAUGAGUCAGCACAGCUAGAUCCAAAAGAAAGUCAAAAAGUGACUAAAACACAGGCUCAGCAGAAGAGUUGUGGCUCAGAAGAAAAGUUAGACCAUUCCAAAAAAGUAUUUUAUGAAGAGGCUUCUUUAAUUCCUAGCAGCACAGAAAUGAGCAAGAGCAAUGAUGACUGUUCAGGUCCAUUCUUGGAGGAGAAGACCCCAUUUAAUUUGUUUUCUAAACUAGACUCAGGAAAGAGGAUAUCUGAUGAAGAGUCACUUACUUUGGGAAAAAAACUCUCCAGACCUCUUCUUGUGGGUAACAAUCUAGUGCAGACAAACAAAAAUGAGCCAGACACAACCAUUGAUGAAUUCUCCCUGAUGCCUUCAUCAUCUCAUUUUAAACUGCUGUCUAUGUCUCCAGAGAAGCUUAUCCCAAAAAGAAAAAAAGAGGUUGAAGAUGGUUUUAGAAAGUUAAAACUGCGAAGGCUUAAGAAGUCAUGAUAGUGUCUUAAAUAUUACCUUGAUGUCUGUUUGCAUGGUGUUUCUGACAAUGUUUUGCAAUAAGGUUGUUAAUGCCUUACCAGUCUUCAGGCCUGCAAAAAGGUCUUUCCUGGGAACAAGCAAACCAAAGCUGCAAAUGAACAUGGGUUUGGAAGAAUAGUUUAAGAAUGGACUUCAAAGCACAGCAGCAAAAUUCUGCAUUCAUCAGUCUACUGACAAGAUUUCAUCCCAGCUAUUAACCUCUCAGCACUCAGAGCCUGGCUCACAAUGGCGAAGGAACCAGAUUUAACUAAUCCCAUUCUAAAGGAUGCUUGACUUUUGCCUACUGAUGGAAGAAACUGCAGCGGAAGAAAGAGAAGGGAAAAACAGGCGUGAAAGGGAGAAGAGAGAAGCAGUUCAAACUUGUAGUGGAAAAAGCCUA